UACAGAGGGUGCAAGCGUUGUUCGGAAUUACUGGGCGUAAAGGGCGCGUAGGCGGUGCGGUAAGUCUGGAGUGAAAUCUCUGGGCUCAACUCAGAGUCUGCUGUGGAAACUGCCGUGCUUGAGUGUGGGAGAGGUGAGUGGAAUUCCCGGUGUAGCGGUGAAAUGCGUAGAUAUCGAGAGGAACACCAGUGGCGAAGGCGAGUCUCUGGACAUUUACUGACGCUGAGGCACGAAAGCCAGGGGAGCAAACGGG
rnacentral:rRNA from 1 species